ACUGCUACCUAUUGUAUACAGGUCUGAGACACUGCUACCUAUUGUAUACAGGUCUGAGACACUGCUACCUAUUGUAUUCAGGUCUGAGACACUGCUACCUAUUGUAUUCAGGUCUGAGACACUGUGCUACCUAUUGUAUACAGGUCUGAGACACUGCUACCUAUUGUAUUCAGGUCUGAGACACUGCUACCUAUUGUAUACAGGUCUGAGACACUGCUACCUAUUGUAUACAGGUCUGAGACACUGCUACCUAUUGUAUACAGGUCUGAGACACUGCUACCUAUUGUAUUCAGGUCUGAGACACUGCUACCUAUUGUAUUCAGGUCUGAGACACUGUGCUACCUAUUGUAUACAGGUCUGAGACACUGCUACCUAUUGUAUUCAGGUCUGAGACACUGCUACCUAUUGUAUACAGGUCUGAGACACUGCUACCUAUUGUAUUCAGGUCUGAGACACUGCUACCUAUUGUAUUCAGGUCUGAGACACUGCUACAUAUUGUAUACAGGUCUGAGACACUGCUACCUAUUGUAUACAGGUCUGAGACACUGUGCUACCUAUUGUAUUCAGGUCUGAGACACUGCUACCUAUUGUAUACAGGUCUGAGACACUGUGCUACCUAUUGUAUACAGGUCUGAGACACUGUGCUACCUAUUGUAUUCAGGUCUGAGACACUGCUACCUAUUGUAUACAGGUCUGAGACACUGUGCUACCUAUUGUAUUCAGGUCUGAGACACUGCUACCUAUUGUAUACAGGUCUGAGACACUGCUACCUAUUGUAUACAGGUCUGAGACACUGCUACCUAUUGUAUACAGGUCUGAGACACUGCUACCUAUUGUAUACAGGUCUGAGACACUGCUACCUAUUGUAUACAGGUCUGAGACACUGCUACCUAUUGUAUACAGGUCUGAGACACUGUGCUACCUAUUGUAUUCAGGUCUGAGACACUGCUACCUAUUGUAUACAGGUCUGAGACACUGCUACCUAUUGUAUACAGGUCUGAGACACUGCUACCUAUUGUAUACAGGUCUGAGACACUGCUACCUAUUGUAUACAGGUCUGAGACACUGCUACCUAUUGUAUUCAGGUCUGAGACACUGCUACCUAUUGUGUGGAUAAGGAGCAAGUCACCCUCUGAGUAUCAAAUCCCCUUUUUCAACCUGGCUUAGGUUCUUAUCCCCCUUGCGCUCCUCGGGAUGUUGUAGGAUUUAGAUCCUGGAAGGAGGAAUGAGAUGGGGAGGGGUUGGACGGAGGAAACUGUCCACUGUUAAAUAGCUUCUAUUAUUGGCUGAGAGCACAAAGCCUAUUACCGUUCCAGGAGGAGUUAACCAUUAAGCCCUGGGUAGAAUUUGCCUGUACACACACAUCUAGGAUCAGAUCCCACUUCCCAAAUACGGACUAAACAAUAGUCAGUCAGAUGAAUGCAAAACUGACUUUGGAUCAGCUUUCGAGGGGCAACUUUAUCCUAUCCCAGCAGAGGUUAAUGCUUUCUGGGAGCGGAGAGGGUUGAAUCAUGGAUUUGCUUAAUGUACUUGGGAUUAGAGAUCCUGUUACAUUUACAUGUUGGUCAUUUAGCAGAUGCUCUUAUCAAGAGUAACUUAGUCAGGUUGGCAACACAGCACGCCAUCAUGUUGGCAACACAGCACGCCAUCAGGUUGGCAACACAGCACGCCUGUUUUGUUUUGUUGAGAUUGGGAAUAACUUAAUCCAAAGUGUAGCUUCUUGUAAUAUAAGGUAUCCCGUGUCUGUAGAGCCCAGUGCUAUAAGACUCAGGGUCACUGCAGGGAUUUCACUCCUGUCCCCUCUCCUGCAGUUUCAUCAGUUGUCUUUCUCUUCAUGUAUUUUCAUCGGUUUGGUCUCUCUUUUU